AACGCACUUGUGUAGAAGAAAACUGAAUUUUUGUGGAUUAUAGUAGUUCAUUCCGAAAUGUAUUGAUCAUCAACUCGUUAUACCAGAUGUUUUUAUGAAGUAAAUCUUGAAUAUUAUAUAGAUAUAGAUCAAACGUAGGACGAUAUGCUUUUCCUGUGUAGCUGUUUAUUUGUCGUAUUUAUAUCGUAUUCAGGUGCCUCCGUUUCGCUAGCAAUAGGUGGUGGUAUGUCAAGUUUUCAAGAUGGUUCGGAAGUGGUUUUAAUAUGCACGAUAUCUCCCUAUAACAAUGUAAUGACAUGGCUUGUGAAUAACGAUCCAUAUGCUGAAUGCUUUCUAGGCUCAUGUGGUGCUUCUUCGAAUAAACCCUACACAUUCAUAUUUAACUUUGACGAAAGGAAUGGAGAAUUUAAUCUCACUAUACAGUCGGUUAAUACUUCUCACGCUGAUCUACUUUUUGCAUGCGACGACGGGAAUGAGAGGAAAACCACAACUUUCAACGUGACAACAGGAGGUCAUUUUUUAUUUAACUUUUAGCAUAAAUGUCGACAGUGUGUGAAACAACAACAUAAUGAUCACACACAGUAGAUUUUAUGUACAAUUACUGUCUUACACUUAUUUUAUUUUUAUUUAUGACGCGUUUGUGCUAGAUUACAACAUCAAGUGAGGUUAACAUUAAAUAGUUUUUUCUAUAAAAAUGUUAAAUGAAUAAUAAAUCUUAACAGAGAAAAAAAAACAAAGAUUACAUUGAGAUAUCAAAAUGUUGGUUCUUUGUUGCUGGAAUUACCUGGGGCUGCGUUCAUUAAAUGCCUUUCUGUGUUGAU